GUACACACUUAAACAUGCACAUAAGAACAAAACAGAGGGUCAGUGGAACUCUGUGCAAGAUGGCAGGAAUAUGGAAUACAUCCAGUUUCUGACAAUUCUAACAUUUAAAUGGUGGUAGGUAUUGGAUGAAGGGGUGUGGCCAGAGUGGGGUGCUGUGAAGAUUUUUUGCACUGGGUUCCUAAAGUCCUAAUACCUGCCCUGCUUGAGUAGAAACCAGAAAUGGAC